GGAAAAGAAUGUAGGGAUUCAAAACAGAGAGUUAAAGAGAGGGAGAGAGGAGCCGUACGGGAGAAAGAACAAGAAGAAGAGGGUUUUGUGGGAUAUCAAGAUUCAAGCUAAGAAUUAUGAAAAAUUCAUCUUAAGGGUCAACUACAAGGGUGAACCAGGCAUCUGAACACUCUAACUUAUGGACGUUAACAAUACAACUCGAAAGCGGCAAGCGGCAUCUUUAAGGCGUAACACAACCCAAGUUCCUCAAAAUGUCGGUCGGAAACGUCAUGCUUGUCAUGUUCAAGUUGACGAAUUUGAUGGUGCUGAACCCAUUGUCAAUGAUAUUGGUGGCAAUGAAGAGCAAACAAACAUUGUUGCCGUUGACCACCACACGGACAUUCCUGAUGUUGACCAUCCCAUGGACAUGCCUGGUUCAAGUGAAGAGCUUGCUACAUCUUUUCCCGGGGGCCCAGUUGAUCCUUCCAUUCUGACAAAUUUUAGUUGUCAUAUAGCAGCCAAAAUUUGAAAUAAUGAGGAACGAGAUUUGUUGAGAUGCUUGAACCAUGGCUCUAAGGUUGCCAAUUGGUCUUUAACAUCGGAAGGAGUUGACAACUUUAAAUUUGUGAACAUUAUUAAACAUUUAGGAUUGCAUUCUUUAACUAGUUGCUCAUACAAAUUUGUGAACGGGGUAGUUAUAUCUGUCUUUGUUGAAAAAUGGCAACCUGAGACUAAUAGUAUCCACAUGCCAUUUGGUGAGAUGUCCGUGUCAUUAGAUGAUAUAAGUAACCAUAUUAGCAAUUCCUGUGACUGGUACAUCUAUUUUAACUAGUAAGUUAUCAUGGGAUGAAGCUGCAAAGGUGUUGGUUAAGUCAUUGGGAGUGUUAGAAGAUGAUGCAGUUGUUGAGUUGAAGGGAGCGCAAGGCCAAUCAGUGCAAUUGGAAUGGUUACAUGAAAAUUUUCAAUCAGUUUCAAAUGCGGAUUCAGAUGAUUUCAUUCAUUAUGCAGCGAGGGCAUAUUUAUUAUUCUUGCUAGGUUGUACCUUGUUCGUUGACAAGACUAUAAAUCAUGUUCCUGUUGUGUAUCUCCAGUUGCUCGAGGAUUUGAAUUUAGUUCAUUCGUAUGCUUGGCAUGCAGCUGCAUUAGCUUUUUUGUAUCGGCAAUUGGGUAUGGCAACAAGUCUAUUAUCAGACAAAUAGCAGGAUACGUGACACUAUUGGAGGCUUAGAUCUACGAACAUUUUAUAUGUGCUAGAACCCAUCCAAAUUUAAAUUAUACAGAAAACCAACCUCGGGCUUAUCGUUGGAUUCCUCGCACACAAUCUGGUUUAUCAGUUUCUGUGUUAAAGUCAUUGCGAGAGAAGCUUGAUAGAUUGGAGGCUCAUGAGGUUAUUUUGGAUCCAUAUAUUGGUAAACGUGAGAACCAUUCAUUUGCUAAAGUUGCUUACUACACUGGAUUGCUGAAAUGCAUGGAUAUUGUUGAACCCUAUCAUCCAGAUAGGUUUUUGAGACAGUUUGGAAGGGUGCAAAAUAUUCCCCCGCCUCCACUUGCUCCACUUUCACAAGGAUUUACUGCUGGCAAGUAUUGUCUUUUGUACAAAUAUGUGGAUCGGAUUACAGAGAGGUGGAAAAAUCAUGUGUUAUCUGAAGUGGAGUGCAGUGAGCCAGUUUUACAUCCAUGGGAUUGCACGCCUAAUUACAUGGAUUAGUAUUGUCGCAUUUCCAAUGUCACUAUUCAAAAUCCGGCACAUCGAUCUACAUACGACCCACGUUCUGAGGCAUCAAUAGCUGAUAGUGACUCACAACGCAUUUCAAAAGCCUUGACUAUAGCACAUCUAAUAAUGCAGUUGGAUUACAUUGAAGUCAUUAGUACUCCAGAGUCUCUGUACAAUGCAUUCAAACAAAUGACGGAAUUAUUAGAGGGCCAGCACAUAGAUGAAGAACACACUCCCCACCGGAACAACACUCCCCAUCGGAAAAACAACAAUCCGUUGAAGAAAGUUUGGUUUAUUACCGUCUCCUUUGUCCUCACCCUCGCUAAACUAACACUGAACACAACUGAAAAUUCAUGAUCAUUUGUGGGAUACUAUGGAUGUUUUGUUAUUAGAAUUGAAUGUUUAUGUGUAUUUUCGUAUUAGUAUGGAUGAUUAUGGACCAUCCUUUUGACUUAGUAAUGUUAUGGAUGAUUUCGUCAUGGUUGCUUUGAUGUACGACAGAAGUUAUGUUCGCACCAUGGUUUUCAAUUAGUGAUUUCAU